rnacentral:rRNA from 1 species
GACGAACGCUGGCGGCGUGCCUAAUACAUGCAAGUCGAACGCAGUGGGGCCGGGUGAGCAACACGUGGGUAACCUUCCAUCAGAGAGGAGAACACUUGGAAACAGGUGCUAAACCGAUACUGAUGGAUGGAGCCGCGGUGCAUUAGCUAGUUGGUGAGGCAACGGCUCACCAAGGCGACGAUGCAUAGCCGACCUGAGAGGGUGAGCGGCCACACUGGGACUGAGACACGGCCCAGACUCCUACGGGAGGCAGCAGUAGGGAAUCUUCGGCAAUGGGCGAAAGUCUGACCGAGCAACGCCGCGUGAGUGAAGAAGGUCUUCGGAUCGUAAAACUCUGUUGGUAGAGAAGCGGUAUCUAACCAGAAAGCCACGGCUAACUACGUGCCAGCAGCCGCGGUAAUUC